UAGCGGGCAUAGUUGAUGUAAUUUAAUGUAAAUGUAAGCAGAAUCAUAUUUCGCACUGCUUGCAAAAGUAGUUUAGUGUUGCUUUCUGCACAGCUGCUACCAUGUUCAACAAAGCAGACAAAUCGUCCAGCUUAGCGAUUUCAAGAUUUCAGUUUUUUGACGAUUUCCAAGAAUCAACAGUUUUUUGCAUCAAUCUGCCAUUGCUUAUGGGCAUUUACUGUGUGUGUUUUUUGGAAAAGACGUUGGCGACCAAUGAGUUGAUGAAAGCAACCCAUCAGCACCUUGAUCUGACUAUACAAGCCAGCAUUCGUUCACAUAAUUUGGUUUAUCUUUGCCUUCCCCACUUCACCCCAUUUCAUCAGAGUCAGUUCGCUGGUCGACGGCCAUUUUGAAAGUGAUGACGUCAUCAUUCAAAAUUGCUGACACCUUUAAAAUAGUGAUUUGUAUACAUCAUUAGAAAGAUUUUCUUCAGGCAAGCCCGAAUCUAGCGUUUAUAUUGAAGUCAGAGGAAUACUCGAGAAGUUACAUUGGUUUUGAGUCUAGGAAAAAUUAUUUUUUUUGACGUCAUCGGUAAUGUGACUUUGAUGAAUUUUUGAAAAUGUUUUAAGGGCUCAAAUUAUUCGUUACACCAUAUAGUUCCAUAAUCAGCCGAGAAAAUAAAGGUUAGGCACUGCAGUCGAUGGUUGACAGGAAUGAUCUGCCUAAAAAAGGAGGAAAAUUGUCAUAGUUGUAAGAAUAGGAAUAUUUAUCUGGUUUUUCGGGAUAUCGUUGCGCUUUCUUGGUUUUCCACCGUCGAGGAUGGUCGAGAAUUCAAGAUUUAGUGUUGAGAACAUUAUAGAAAAGGCAUCUGUCAUGGUCUCUUGACGUUGAUUUGCUAUAACAAUCAUUGUCUCGAGCAAUAGGAGUGAGGUUUCUUCUCUCCGGCAAUCUCGAACUUUGGCGAAAUAAAGAGUGAGCGCAUAGAAGACAAAUUGCUGAAUACCUUCUAAAUAUUGAUUGAUUUCUCCCUUAAUUCAUUUCUCCUUUACUGAACAAACAGCAAUCUUUAUCUUUAAAAAAUUCCUUUAAUUGUUGGAAACAAUCAUUUUUUGGUCAAAGUCAAGGAAACAUUUGGUGAUUUUUUCUACUUGCUAUGCAAGGAGGUGCAUCUAGCCACCUUGUCUGAAUAUAAUUGUAAAUUUGUAGAGUUGCCCAUUUACAACGUUCUCAAAAUAUUGUUAUCGAUAAAUAGAGUGGAAACAAAUCAAUAUAGAUUGUAAGCAAAUAUAAUUACUUGCAUUUUUCAAUCAUAACUGACUUUGCAAGGAGAUUAAUCCCAUCUACUGCUAUGACUGAUUCGUUGCAAAAUAUCCUGCCACGAUAGCCGAAUGCAUCGCCAGCUAUUUCCUAACAUUCUGAAUAAUUUUCAAAUUGUACCGCACUUACUUAUUCUUUGUUCUACCCAUGAUGCAAAUGCGUGUCAAACUGGAGAUUCAAGUUUCAUGUUAAUUUCAAAACAUUUGAGCACUACAAAAUAUAAUUAUUAUGUGUUUAUGAUAACAAACUGGCGGCGCCAAUAUACAAAACAAUUAUACGGAUCACUGGCCCCUAAUUCACUCUGCUUUUGAAAAUAACUGACGUGCAAGUAAGCUUAGUAUACAUUAAGAGGUGUAUGGAAUAAAAAAUAAACCUGCAUAAGUAAAUUGGAAUUUAGCCAAUGUUUUAGGUGUAAAAAGUUCGAAAAAUGGAAUCAUAUUUCGUCCUAAGAGUGUCGUCAAACUCACAAGUUGUUUAAAUUAGUGACCAGAAUAUGCUGAUAAAGGAUUUUGUUUUCUUCACAUUUAAGAUUUUUAAAGAUAACAACGCUAAAAUUUAUCGAGAAAGAAAAUAACUACGCCUUCUCAUUGACUAGAUGAUGGACAGCAUUACUAAUGAAAUUACUUUUUUGGAUGUGGAGAAAAAAUUUGACGAGAUCACUUCUGUUGAUUUUUCGUUGAUAAAACAUCUCUUGGAAUCUUGUUGACGUCAAGAAAAAGCUUUAUUUUUUAGGAAAGGUAAUUCAUCCAUCCAGAUGAUUGACAUUGAAAACAAGUUUAUACUCAAGAUAACCUGUCUGCCAACACACUUUAAAUUCAAUAUUCUUUAAGAAGGAGCUGUAUCUUAGGGUACAUUAAUUUAAAGAGGGAAAAGCAAGAACUUGCACAAGUGGUUCAGCAAAUUUCUGUAAGAAACUCCUUACAAACUUUUGAUCGUAAACGUUUUCUCAUAACUUCUCCAUAUAUUCUUUAUAUCUACACGACAUCAAAAGGAUUUAUAUUUUCAUCUCAAAUAUAGUUUUUAAAAAUGUGCAAGUCGAUAAUCAUUAGGCUCUUUCUCCCGAUCACAACUUAAAGAGGUUCUCAAAACUUGAGUCAGUCGGGAAAAAUGCAUGGGGUGUCGGGGGGAGCAGGGCAAAGGUGGUGUGAAACUCUCAGUUUUUCAAGAGUUUGGUAUUUAAUUUUUCUUGUUCAUGGUUCAAGUCGAAAUUUGAUCAGUAAAAGUACCAGCUAGCAGGAAAAGACAAGGACAACUUUUGUAAGAAAAGUGAUCAAUUACAAGCAUCCACUCUUACAACUACACUACAAGUUAUGUCACCAGGCAACAGAUUAUAAUUGGGUAGUAAUUUAGAUUACGCAAAUGACUAGUACAUUUUAUUAUGGAAAAUAUGAUGGUGAUUGAUUAUUCUUUUAUGCUUACUUGAUCUCCCGCAUUUUCUUUAAAAUAGAGCACAACGUUCACUGAUUUACGAAACAUGGACAGUUUACAUAGAAUUUAGGAAAUGAGAUAUUUAUGAAUAUUAUGAUUUUGAACGAAGGCACGUUUCAGUUAUUUCAAACAAAAAUUUUUCAUGGUCGAGCAGCCGGCAUGCCACCUGCUUUCUAAUGAUUCAAACAAUCUGCCCAGACCAGUUUCGCGUUACUGUACGGUAUGUACAUAACGGGGUUUCGUUGCUACAACUUGGUUGCUAGUGAAAAUCUUUUAUGCAAUACUGGAAUUCUGUGAUGGAUAAGGAGGUCUUGGCUAAUUUAACCCCUUUUCCUGUUUUUUUUAUUUAUGCUUACAUCUUUGCGGCUCAAUAACAUUUUUCGAAUUCUAUCAUCGAUUUCGCAUAUACUUUGGAAACUUGCAUUUAUAGUUCGUAGCAAAUUACAUAAUAUUUCAUUGUAAGAUUUAUCUGUGAAUAAAUGUGACAGUGUCGAAGUUGAUUUAGGGAACACUUCAUCUUAAAAAGUUGGCAUUUAUCAGAUUUCCUUAUAUUGAAUUUCAGUGGCAAUAAGGGCCAGCGGCACUGAUCGGGAACCUUUCCUACUUACCCUGAAUUCUCAUCGGCAUCAUUUGAUUCACAACUUAGUAUUUGUUCGGGUGACGUGCCGGGGGAGUUGAAAACGUUUCGGCUGUUUUCACGUCACAUGGUCUAUGUUAUUGUAGGAAUUAUCUUACCUCAAUAGGUAGUUACAGUUAUCUAGAAUCAUAAGACGAACAAAAUUAAGAGAUAAGAGUGUUUAGAGAAGAAUGACAAAAAACCUCAUGUUAAAAUGAUGCGAUUAUGGUGUAAAAAUGUUUUCACAAAAUUGAUUGAUUCUGUUAGCCUUUGCCCAAAAGUGCAUGUGCAUCUGACGCAUGUCCAUUGGCUUGAACAACAGACAAAAUAAUACCUGUAAUCACGGGUGUCUAGACUUGUCACCUCGACAAGUUUGUGUAUUUCUAACUUAGGAUUAGCGAUAAAGAAGUAACCGUACAUUGAUGUCAAUCAUGAAUAUCUACGGGUCAGUUGCCCCAUUGUGUUAAGCCAGUGAGUAAAUAUUUACCCCUUUGAUGAGUACAUGACCCUUACAUCAUUUCGCAAUGAUACGUUACAUAGUUCUGUGUUAAAACGUUUCACUGCUCCCAUAACAAACAGUUUUUAGAGUGCAAAACAACACAUGGUUGUACAUCAGAAAUCACCAGCCAUGCAAGUGAUAUUUACCAGCCUUCUUUUUUGCCUGGUUUUGCUAAUCCAAGGAUUAACUACAGACUCAAAAAGUGGUAGUGGACAAUGCGACACUGAUCUUGAUUGCAAGAACAAGGGACUGUGUCUGGCAUCGAAAAAAGACGAGGAAAAGAUUUCGGAAGGCGAUGAUAAAGAAUUUGGAAAAUGCUUCUGUUUCUAAGGCCGCACUGGAGAGAGCUGUGGUAAGUGAGAUGUGUUAUCGCAAUGAUUUUUGGGUGUAAAGUUUGUUUUUUUGUAGAUAAACACUAACCUAAGAAAAAAAAGUAAUUUAGAUUUUAUUUUGUAUUAACCAAAUCAGCAUGUUAAUAUUGAAAUUGGAAACUGUUUUUCUAGCUGUUUGCCUGAUGUAACUCAAGGCUGAAAACCAAAGAUAUAACCAAUUGCAUGAAACAGACAAGAAUUAGAUGAUAUCUAUGGUGAUGAUGAUAUGUUGAUCCGCCAAAGAACUAUUGCCAAAGUUCUUUUCAUGAGCAAUCUAAUUUUAGAACCGACAAGAAUCCCAAUUUCUUUAAGACUUGUUUAAGACAGUCUAUGAACAUGGCCAAUCUGCUAUCGGGCCCAGUCUACUAUCAGGCCCAGUCUACUGUCGGGCCCAGUCUGCGAUCUGACCCUGUCUGUGCGAUAUUUCACUUCCAAAUGAUUCACCCUGACAAACCUAACAAAACAGUGAAUAAGUUCAAAGUAUAUCAAAGUUCUAGUAUUGAGGGUUCGUAAAUCUUAGUUCUUAAAAUUUUGAUGCCUGUUCUUGCUCCAACAUUGAGUAGUUCAUAUUCAUAUAAUACAUUUAAUACAUACAAUUUAAAUCAUUUAUACACAAAAAUCCCUUCUGCAUAUCAAAGAGCUAUCUAUAUAGAUCAAUUAUUCAACCUUAAUACAAUGAAUCGUUAAUGCCUAUUUCAUGCUCUUCCAGGAAGUCGUGUUUUGAUUAAACUUUAGCUCUUGAAGUAUGAUUUUAAUUUUCUUUUGAACUGCUGGAGUGUUGGCAGUUAUCUGAUUGAGGUAGGGAUGCUGUUCCACGCAGUAAGAGCUGAAUAGUGUAAGCCUUUUCUCAAAUAUUCAAGGUUAUAUCUCGGAAUUUGGAUAUUUUUGCAGUUUCUUGUAGGUUAAGUUUGCCUAGGUUGGGUUAUCACAUGUCAACCCAAAAAAUAUUUUCUAGGAUGACGAAACUCAUUAAGAAUAUUUCCUGUAUUUUACAUAAACACUUAAUCUAUUUGAUUUCACGGUUAUAUGUUUUCUGUGAGUAAAUGAAACUUAUUUUUUCAAUGUUCUCUAGAAAAAAAACCCAGCUGUUCAUGAAUUUGCAAAAGUAUUUGUACAAGUUGCUAGUCAAAAAUAAGCGGAAUGCAACCUGAAACAAACAGAUUUAUUGCCACAUUAAUUAUGGAGACCUUAUGUUUCAACAUUUGGAACGAUGACACAAAAGAAUAAACAGUCUGUCCAGAACUCCAUUUUUCGCCUUAUUUUACGAUGUUUACAAUUAUUCAAUUUGAUCUGACCCACAUUGUACGAUCCUUUGACGGGUUUCAGUCUCAUGUCAAAAUUCUGAAGGAACAAUGCUCAUAUCAUUAUACAAGAAUUAUUAAACCUAGCUGAACCAGGAUAGUUUAAAGGCAAUCUGUAUCGUUGUGGAUUGGUUAACGAGAACAAUAGCUGAAACAAAAGCCUAAACACAAUUCCAGCGCUCUGCCAUAUUUUUUACAAUGCGAUAAAUUAAAGGGGGACUGGAAACAAUAAAAAUCCCUGUGUUCUUAUAAUCAAUCAACGUCGUGAAAGAUUGCCUUUAAGGGUAUGUGAUCAGUCUGUAACGCUUUGCAGGUAAAAUCAAAAAUCUCUCCUCAUCUCUCAUUUCUCAUGCACUGUCCUUUUUUGAAGGAUAAUGAAUGUUAAGCAACCUGUUUUGCUUCUCUUGUUUGAUCAGCUAAUUAAAGUGACUUUCUAUGUUUGCGUCAAUAGUGUUUUUGUCCUUUUGUUAUUGUGUCUAGUCCAUUAGAGUCGGUGUGUGCGUCAUAUGUUAAAAGACAAGGCUCUGGGGAAUGGGCAAAUCCGUAGUAGUUAAGGGUCCUUUUUGUUCUUCGUUGUUAAUGCUCCUAUGGAUCAUAGAGGUCCAAGCGUCACAGGGUCUGGUUUUUCCAGUAUUUCCUCACGGAGUCCUUUCAAGCCUUCAGUCAGACGACCACCAAUGAAGUCUACAUUGUCAGUUCCCAAAAUACACUUACUUGGUCUGACCGUGAGAUGAGCGUCUGUUAGUGUCUUGAAUAGCUCACCGAGUGUCUUCAUAUGUUCUUCCAAAGUUUUGUAUCCACAAGAAUAUCAUGCCAAUUAAAGACAACUUUGUCGAUGUCACUCAGUACCUUCUGAAGUCCACGUUAUAAAGUUGCUCAACUGUUAACCAUUCCGAAAGGCAUUUUGCCUUUAUUGGCAUUUUACCUGUGACUUUCACUUG